CAUGUUUUUGUAGAGACAAACACGGCCAAUUAAAAGAACCCCUGUCUUUUUCAUUCUUUCUCCUCUCUCUCACUCCCUCUUAAAGGCAACAGAUAUGGCCAGCACAUGGAAUGAAAUUAAAGCAUAUAUAUUGCCCAACCGAUUAAAAUAUAAUAAGCAUGAGACCAAAAUGACUUGUUUACAGGCUGUGUAUGAACCAAGUAGAGCAGUUGGAAAAACUUUCUUUUGGUGUUUGCUAUGGUACCUUAAUUGUUGGCUGCUGGAGAGUUUUUCUUAGUCUUCGUCUGAAUUCACUUGUGCGAAAUUCUGAUCCACACCUGGUGUGGUAUAAAUAGUAUCCUUCGUUGUUGCAUAUUAAAUCCCUCCUCUCUGCAAAAGAUUGCAUGCACCCCCAUGUAAGUAUAAGUCUGGCCUGUCAUUUUCUGUCUCAGAG
rnacentral:misc_RNA from 1 species